UAUUGGACAAUGGACAAACGAAUAUCCAGCAAUAUCGCGUGAGUGUGAAGGCCCAUAUGGUUGUAAAACUGUUUCGUCGAAGAAGAUAAUGACAGUACGUGAAGAAGAGCACCUGGCAAACCCCGUGCCAGCAGCCGCGGUAAGACGGGGAGGGAUAGUGUUAUUCGGAAUAACUGGGCGUUAAGGGCGCGUAGGCUUUAAUUAACCUUAAAAGAAAAAUCCUUGGGUACAUCAGGGAUUGCUUUUAAUACCGAUUUACUAGAGUGCAACAGAGGGGGAUGGAAUUUCGAAUGGAGCAGUAAAAUUCAUAGAGAUUCGAAGGAACACCAAAGGGAAAGCAAUUCCUCUGGCUUGCACUGACGCUGAGGCACGAGG
rnacentral:rRNA from 1 species